rnacentral:rRNA from 2 species
GUGACCCCAGGUCAGGCGGGGACACCC